rnacentral:misc_RNA from 1 species
GAUGAAGAACGUAGUGAAAUGCGAUAAGUAAUGUGAAUUGCAGAAUUCAGUGAAUCAUCGAAUCUUUGAACGCACAUUGCGCCCAUUAGUAUUCUAGUGGGCAUGCCUGUUCGAGCGUCAUUUCAACCCUUAAGCCUAGCUUAGUAUUGGGAAUCGACUUUACUGUCGUUCCUCAAAUUCAACGGCGGAUUUAUAGCAAUCUCUGAACGUAGUAAUUUUUUUUCUCGUUUUUGAAAUACUAUAAACCUCAGCCGCUAAACCCCCAAUUUCUUAUGGUUGACCUCGGAUCAGGUAGGAAUACCCGCUGAAUUUAAGCAUAUCAAUAAGCGGAGGA